GACGAACGCUGGCGGCGUGCUUAACACAUGCAAGUCGAACGGAAAGGCCCUGCUUUUGUGGGGUGCUCGAGUGGCGAACGGGUGAGUAACACGUGAGUAACCUGCCCUUGACUUUGGGAUAACUUCAGGAAACUGGGGCUAAUACCGGAUAGGAGCUCCUGCUGCAUGGUGGGGGUUGGAAAGUUUCGGCGGUUGGGGAUGGACUCGCGGCUUAUCAGCUUGUUGGUGGGGUAGUGGCUUACCAAGGCUUUGACGGGUAGCCGGCCUGAGAGGGUGACCGGCCACAUUGGGACUGAGAUACGGCCCAGACUCCUUCGGGAGGCAGCAGUGGGGAAUAUUGCACAAUGGGCGGAAGCCUGAUGCAGCAACGCCGCGUGCGGGAUGACGGCCUUCGGGUUGUAAACCGCUUUCGCCUGUGACGAAGCGUGAGUGACGGUAAUGGGUAAAGAAGCACCGGCUAACUACGUG
rnacentral:rRNA from 1 species